rnacentral:rRNA from 1 species
ACUCAAAUGAAUUGACGGGGGCCCGCACAAGCAGUGGAGUAUGUGGUUUAAUUCGAAGCAACGCGAAGAACCUUACCAGGGCUUGACAUCCCUAGAAGUCUUCUGAGAAGAAGAUGUGCCUUCGGGAACUAGGUGACAGGUGGUGCAUGGUUGUCGUCAGCUCGUGUCGUGAGAUGUUGGGUUAAGUCCCGCAACGAGCGCAACCCUUAUUGUUAGUUGCUAACAUUUAGUUGAGCACUCUAGCGAGACUGCCGUUGACAAAACGGAGGAAGGUGGGGACGAUGUCAAAUCAUCAUGCCCCUUAUGUCCUGGGCUACACACGUACUACAAUGGCUGUAAACAGAGGGUGGCCAAACCGCGAGGUGGAGCUAAUCCCCAAACACAGCCCCAGUUCGGAUUGUAGGCUGAAACUCGCCUGCAUGAAGUUGGAAUUGCUAGUAAUCGCGAAUCAGCAUGUCGCGGUGAAUACGUUCCCGGGCCUUGUACACACCGCCCGU